rnacentral:rRNA from 1 species
UACGUAGGGGGCAAGCGUUGUCCGGAAUUAUUGGGCGUAAAGAGCUCGUAGGCGGUCUGUCGCGUCUGCUGUGAAAACCUAGGGCUUAACUCUGGGCGUGCAGUGGGUACGGGCAGGCUAGAGUGCGGUAGGGGGAGACUGGAAUUCCUGGUGUAGCGGUGAAAUGCGCAGAUAUCAGGAGGAACACCGGUGGCGAAGGCGGGUCUCUGGGCCGUAACUGACGCUGAGGCAUGAAAGCGUGGGGAGCAAACAGG